rnacentral:rRNA from 1 species
GACGAACGCUGGCGGCGUGCCUAAUACAUGCAAGUAGAACGCACAGUUUAUACCGUAGCUUGCUCCACCAUAGACUGUGAGUUGCGAACGGGUGAGUAACGCGUAGGUAACCUGCCUGGUAGCGGGGGAUAACUAUUGGAAACGAUAGCUAAUACCGCAUAAUAUUAAUUAUUGCAUGAUAAUUAAUUGAAAGGUGCAAUUGCACCACUACCAGAUGGACCUGCGUUGUAUUAGCUAGUAGGUGAGGUAACGGCUCACCUAGGCGACGAUACAUAGCCGACCUGAGAGGGUGGUCGGCCACACUGGGACUGAGACACGGCCCAGACGCCUACGGGAGGCAGCAGUAGGGAAUCUUCGGCAAUGGACGAAAGUCUGACCGAGCAACGCCGCGUGAGGGAAGAAGGUUUUCGGAUCGUAAAGCUCUGUUGUAAGAGAAGAACGGGUGUGAGAGUGGAAAGUUCACACUGUGACGGUAUCUUACCAGAAAGGGACGGCUAACUACGUG